GACUACAACUGAUUACUCCCACUGAUCACCAAGAUCAAGCAGUUAAAAAAAUACAGUUUCCAUUCUCACACUAGAGAGAGUGAGAGAGAGAAAGAAAGAGAGGGAAAGUGGCAAAAAUAUCAACAGUCUACAGGAUGGAGUUUUUCUGUGUGAUGCUACUGAUCUUCACUGGCUUUAUGGAGACCACAUCAGAGAACUUUAAGAUAGUUGGUUCAGCUGUUCCCCUUGUUGUUGAAGCUGGUGAAGAUCUGGUUCUGCCCUGUUCUCUCCAACCCAACAUCAGUGCUGAGGAUAUGAUGGUGGAGUGG